rnacentral:rRNA from 1 species
UACGUAGGGUCCGAGCGUUGUCCGGAAUUACUGGGCGUAAAGAGCUCGUAGGUGGUUUGUCGCGUUGUUCGUGAAAACUCACAGCUUAACUGUGGGCGUGCGGGCGAUACGGGCAGACUUGAGUACUGCAGGGGAGACUGGAAUUCCUGGUGUAGCGGUGGAAUGCGCAGAUAUCAGGAGGAACACCGGUGGCGAAGGCGGGUCUCUGGGCCAACAUCGACGCUGAGGCACGAAAGCGUGGGGAUCAAACAGGAUUAGAAACCCCUGUAGU